AGGUCUAACCUGCCCAAUGAUUUAAAUUUAAUGGCCGCGGUAUAUUAACUGUGCUAAGGUAGCAUAAUCAUUUGUCUUUUAAUUGAAGGCUAGUAUGAACGGUUGGACGAGACAUAAACUUUCUUUAACUUAAUUAAUGAACUUAAUUUUUUAGUUAAAAAGCUAAAAUUUGUUUGAGGGACGAGAAGACCCUAUAGAUCUUUAUAUCUGUAAUUAUCAUAUAAUUUAGUGAAUUAAUUAUUAUUAUAAUUAUCUAUAUUUGGUUGGGGUGACUAUAAAAUUUAACUAACUUUUAUUUUUAUUUUUCAUGAAUUAGUGUUUUGUUGAUCCAAGAUUAUUGAUUAAAAGAUUAAGUUACCUUAGGGAUAACAGCGUAAUUUCUUUGGAGAGUUCUUAUCGAUAAAGAAGUUUGCGACCUCGAUGUUGGAUUAAAAUUAGUUUUAGGUGUAGAAGCUAAAAACUAGGUCCUUGCCCUUCCCUC
rnacentral:rRNA from 1 species